rnacentral:lncRNA from 10 species
CCUCCCCAGGCCCCUUUCGGUUACGCAGCCCAGCCCCUCUCCAGACUGCACACUGGAUGUGGAAAGGGAUCUUGGGAAGCCUUCAUUCCACUUCCCUGUCGGCCUUUUCCAGCCUUCAUUGGUUGGUUCACAGAGGUGGGAGUGGGGAAAGUGGAAGCCAGAUGGCUGAUUAGAGUCAGCAUAGUGCGUGCCAUGACAAAGUUAGCAGACACGCCUGUAAUUCCAGCUACCAGGGAGGCUGAGGCAGGAGAAUUGCUUGAACCCUGGAGGUGGACGUUGCAGUGAGCCGAGAUGCGAUGCAUCAGCCCCGCCUCUCAUCCCCCAUCCAGAGGAGGCGGAAAUGUUCAGGUGAACGCGAAGCCUCCCACUACGAGCCGGCCCUCAGCAAGGCCGUGCGCAGUGUGGGCGGGAGCCCUAAGUCAGCUAGCGGCGACGCUGGGAGGGCCCGGAGCAGGCCGGGCCCCGAACAGCGAAAGCUCCAACAUGGCGGCCAGACUGGCCAUAGAGCGGGAAGAGAAAGCCGGGGACUAGCAGGCCGCACGGCGCAGACGGGGCCCGCCUCCUCCAUUUACUUCCGGAAUUUAAAGCCGGCUUCCGGAAGCCGGGACGAUGUCCGCAUGACAACCGACGUUGGAGUUUGGAGGUGAGAGUGAUUGACGAGGAGUGGGUUAAGUGACCAGAAGUCAGAAUUUUUGGUGCUGUUGUUUUGGGCUUGGGUUUUAUGCUUUGUUGUUGUUUGCCAAGGAAGCCUCGUUUUUAAGUGGAUUGGGAAGCGUGAGGAAUACUGCCCUAGGUACAAAGGGAAGGCGGCAGGUAGCGGUGGACGAAUUAAAGAGCUUCAUGAGCUUGUGAGUCUCCACUGCCCUAAACUGGAGGGGAUCGUCGUACGUAGAGACAGGCAUGGGCGUUUCUGCAUAACGGAUCCUCAAAACAGCCCUGGAUGGUGGCCUAUGAGUAGUGGUUAAGAGCACGGGUUUGGCGUCACAGUUAUGAAGCCGGGUUCUGCUGACUUGAGACCUGGAGGAAUGCCUUGAGCUCUGACUUCUGUGUCCUUUCCUGUAGAAUAGGAAUAAUUCCCACCUUGCAGACUUGUAGGGAGGAUUAAAGGAAACGAUCUUGGUUGACAAGUUUAUCGUGGUGUGAGUACCUAGGUAGUAGCUAUCAGUGUUAUUUAAUGCGGCCGGGCGCAGUGGCUCACGCCUGUAAUCCCAGCACUUUGGGAGGCCGAGGCGGGAGGAUCACGAGGUCAGGAGAUCGAGACCAUCCUGGCUAACAUGGUGAAACCCCGUCUCUACUAAAAAUACAAAAAAUUAGCCAGGCGUGGUGGCACGCACCUGUAGUCCCAGCUACUUGGGAGGCUGAGGCAGGAGAAUCGCUUGAACCCGAGAGGCGGAGGUUGCAGUGAGCCAAGAUCAUGCCACUGCACUCCAGCCUGGCGACAGAGCGAGACACUCUCUCUCUCUCUAAAAUUUAAUGAAUGAGGAAACCGCGAACAUAUGUCCAAUAAGGUGGGACUUCACCAGCUGAGGUGGAGGAGGUGCCUUAACCUUCCGGAGCCUCUGUGUAAAAUGGGGAUAAUAUACAUUGUAAUGGCUACUUCUCAAGAUGGUUGUAGGAUUACGUAAGGUUAGAAAUAUGAAAAGAGCUUAUAAAUUGCAAAACAUUUUACCGAUGCUAAUUUAAUCGCUAACACUCCAGAGCAUUUUGAAAUUUCUUUAUAGAUUUGGCACAGCAGCGGGUCAUAGGACACCCCCAGAGCAACUUGUGGGUCUUGGAAUAGAUGAAAAGAAACAACUGCCACUGUGUUGCAACCAUAACCCUAAAGAUAAAGCUUUCCAGGAGACCCCUGUUUCCUCUCUGCUUUUUCUGCCUAGGGCACUUCACACUUCUUUGCUGGCAUUUUUCCUGCCUAGUUAAAUACUAGUCUAUCAAUUAUGUAAGAGACAGCUUAGUCCAGUAGUUAAGAGCACAGACUGUGGACCCGUGCAGCCUGCAUCUGAAUACUAGCUCUGCCACUUACUAACGACGUGACCUUGGACAAAUUAUUUUACCUCUCUUGGCCUCAAAUUUCUCAUCUGUAAAAUGGGGAAGGUAAUAAUGUAUUAUGUCAUCUACCUUGUGAGGUUUAAAUAAUGUUAGUGCUUGUAGAACACUCCCUGGCACAUUGUAAGCAAUGUAUAAGGAUUUGCUGCCAUUUUUGUUACCACCGCUACUACAUGACCAGGCAGUCAUUCUUCUCAGUAAUACUACUAGAUUCCUUUGGUUAGAGACAGCUCUGCAUUGAGAAGAUUCCAGGCAUGGAGAAAAGCUGGUGAAGGUCCUAGAAUAAAUGACUUCUUGGGGG